rnacentral:rRNA from 1 species
CGGGUAGAGUAACGCGUGGAGAACCUGCCGUAUACUGGGGGAUAACACUUAGAAAUAGGUGCUAAUACCGCAUAAGCGCACAGCUUCGCAUGAAGCAGUGUGAAAAACUCCGGUGGUAUACGAUGGAUCCGCGUCUGAUUAGCUGGUUGGCGGGGUAAAGGCCCACCAAGGCGACGAUCAGUAGCCGGCCUGAGAGGGUGAACGGCACAUUGGGACUGAGACACGGCCCAAACUCCUACGGAAGGCAGCAG